ensembl:lncRNA
UUUACAUUUGAUUAAUUAACAUUGACAAAAAUUAAUGAGUACUGUAACAAAUAUAUUGCUCAUAGUUAAUGCGUUAACUAAUAUUAACUAAUCUUACUUUAUUGUAAAUGGUUACCAAAGUAAGAACAAACACUAGACACAAUUUGGUGAAAAACAUGAAUUUAUAUAAUAAUCUUAAUUAAUAUUGAUAUUAUAAUAAACUUGUUAUUGGGAAUGGCCAUGACUGCUUUUAGAUGCCCUUUUUAUAUUUUGUGCAUUUCUACAUUUUGUGAUAAUCCUAUUUUGGGAUUCAGUUUCAUUUUUCAGCACAAUUAAAUGAAAAAAAAAAGCAUUGUGUCUGCAGGAAAUAAAUUGCACCGUAUUGAAGCUUUACUCCGGGUUCAGGCGAAUGAUACACUCUCUUAGUCAUUUGCCAGGCAGUUAGCGGGCAGGGUGUGCCAGACGUGUCCCUAAGCAGUGGGACUUGGCUGGGCUGCCAGCUGCCCCCGCAGGCCCCACGAUGCAGACCUGCCCAAGGUGAGAUGAACUCAUCUUGAGAGAGCUGACUGGCACAGGCAUGCUCUGCUGGCCAGAGAACAGGCAGGUGUCCCCAUCCCAUUCCCGUCUUCCUCACUUCUCAUGCCCAACGAAGUGCAGCAAGCUCUGACGGAUAUCCUGUCUGCUCUCCCUUUUGAGCUUAGUCUCUCUCUCUUUCUCUGGCUCCUGUGCGCUCGCUCGCUUUCUUUUUUCCCAGCCCCAUCACUUAUUCAUGGAACAGGUUCAACUCCCAGCACUGAUGUCUGGAAACGACGCGUGGACACAGAAGUGACAGUGGGUGGUUUCGAGAGUGGCCAGCGUGGAUAAUAGCAGCCGGGCAAUGGAGCAGCAUAACAAAAAGGAGAGCCAGAACAAAGCCCGACAAUUACAGUAAGAAAGAAUUCAUCGCUGUGGGGCAAGGUGGACAGCACAGAGCCACGCUCAUCUUACACGGCUCUCACACAGACUGGCAAAAGGCAUCCAGCCCAUCAGGAGCCUCUGAGAGGAAACAGGAUGGGGAAUUCCAAACAAAGAGACAGGCAGACAACGAGUUGCUGGCCGCUCCAUUAUGGCCUUGUUUGCUCCUUGUAUGCAGGAUCAUCCAUACAAUAAAAGCGAAAUUAAAAGUUCUCAGAUGUGCGGCACUGUUGGCACAUGCUGCUAGCGUACGCAUAUUCUCUCCGCCCCCGGAUGGAUUGAAGAUACCACCUUCACUUGGGAGUGAAGGCCAGAGAGGAGAAAACGUGAGGGGAUGCCUUCUGCCUAUCGGUGAGGUGCAGUUGUUUUCAAUAGCAUUAGCUGCUGUUGUACAAUGCAUUUUAAAUGUUUAAACUGCUAUAUAUGUGUCACAAAAUGGGGUAAACACUUGAAUAUCAUUUACAAACAACAAUAACAACAACAAAAAGAUUUAUCCUCAUGAUGUUCCAAAACCAAAUGCCAUUCUUUCUUCUGUGAAACACACACAAAAAGAAAGUUUAAAUAUGAUAUACUGGAAACUCUUUUCCAUGCAAUUGCUUUGAAGCUUCAAAAGUAUGUAAAUGCAUAAUAAAGAAUCAUAAGAUGUGUUACA